rnacentral:misc_RNA from 1 species
UCACUACUUACGUAGGCAGUCUCUUUAGAGUCCCCAGCAUAACCUGAUGGCAACUAAAGAUAGGGGUUGCGCUCGUUGUGGGACUUAACCCAACACCUCACGGCACGAGCUGACGACAGCCAUGCAGCACCUGUACACCGACCACAAGGGGGGCACCAUCUCUGGCGCUUUCCGGUGUAUGUCAAGCCUUGGUAAGGUUCUUCGCGUUGCGUCGAAUUAAGCCACAUGCUCCGCCGCUUGUGCAGGCCCCCGUCAAUUCCUUUGAGUUUUAGCCUUGCGGCCGUACUCCCCAGGCGGGGCGCUUAAUGCGUUAGCUUCGGCACGGACGGAGUCGACACCGCCCACACCUAGCGCCCAUCGUUUACGGCGUGGACUAC